AAGGUUUUAAGUUAAUAAAACUAAAAGCCUUCAAAGCUUUUAAUAAAAGUAGAAAUCUUUUAAACCUUG
rnacentral:tRNA from 1 species